rnacentral:rRNA from 1 species
GACGAACGCUGGCGGCGUGCUUAACACAUGCAAGUCGAGCGGUAAGGCCCUUUCGGGGGUACACGAGCGGCGAACGGGUGAGUAACACGUGGGUGACCUGCCCUCAGCUCUGGGAUAAGCCCGGGAAACUGGGUCUAAUACCGGAUAUGACUCCAUGACGCAUGUUGUGGGGUGGAAAGCCUUGUGCGGCUGAGGAUGGGCCCGCGGCCUAUCAGCUUGUUGGCGGGGUGANGGCCUACCAAGGCGACGACGGGUAGCCGGCCUGAGAGGGCGACCGGCCACACUGGGACUGAGACACGGCCCAGACUCCUACGGGAGGCAGCAGUGGGGAAUCUUGCGCAAUGGGCGAAAGCCUGACGCAGCGACGCCGCGUGAGGGA